rnacentral:rRNA from 1 species
CACGUAGGGUGCGAGCGUUGUCCGGAAUUAUUGGGCGUAAAGAGCUCGUAGGCGGUGUGUCGCGUCGGCCGUGAAAACCUGCAGCUUAACUGUGGGCGUGCGGUCGAUACGGGCAUCACUGGAGUUCGGCAGGGGAGACUGGAAUUCCUGGUGUAGCGGUGAAAUGCGCAGAUAUCAGGAGGAACACCGGUGGCGAAAGCGGUUCACUGGCCCGACACUGACACUGAGGUGCGAAAGCUAGGGUAGCAAACGGG